ensembl:snRNA U6 U6 spliceosomal RNA
GUGUUCACCUUGGCAGCACAUACACUGAUAUUGGAACGAUACAGAGAAGAUAAGCAUGGCCCCUGCACAAGGAUGACAUACAAAUUCCUGAAGUGUUCCAUAUUUUU